UGGAAGGACAAACUAUAGACUUGUAGUAUAAAAAUACCCUCAACAGCCUUCAGAAGUGGGCGAUAAUACAUCCUGUCAACACAUGUGGUCAUCUUCGUUCUCCUUGAUAAGCUUGCUGCAGUGAGUGUUACUGCAUAAGACAUCUGAGCCCCCUGAAUGUUCUUCGUGCAUGAGUAAACAUGGUCACACUGAAUAGAUUACCUGCCUGUUUCCAGUGUAAAUGUAACAGUGAAUUCUCUAGGAAGGAAACACAUCCAGGUAUUUCAACAGGAUUUCUUCCAAAUAAGAAGUUUGUGAACCAACUUAAACAUUCACCAGUUCUGAAUCCAGUAGAGUACCUUUGGAACGUGGUGGAAAAGGAGAUCCUCAUCAGGGAUGUGUAGACAAAUCUACAGUUACUCUGGGAUGCUAUUAUGUCAAUGUGGGGCAAAAUCUCUGGAGAACGUUUCCAGCACCUUGUUGAAUCUAUGCUAUGAAGAACUGAGACAGCUCUAAACAUAAAAGGAAAUCAAACCAAGCUCUAUCAAUGUGUACCUAAUAAAGGGGUCAGUGACUUAAAAAUAAUUAAAUUAAAUUAACAAUGAGAAUGAAUACAUGUAGGGUUAAUGGAAUUUUCAUGCUGUCUUUCAUUU